rnacentral:rRNA from 1 species
UGGAUGAUGUGGAUUAAUUCGAUGCAACGCGAGACCUUCUACCCUUGACAUGUCCGGAACUUGCCAGAGAUGGCUUGGUGCCCGAAAGGGAAUCGGAACACAGGUGCUGCAUGGCUGUCGUCAGCUCGUGUCGUGAGAUGUUGGGUUAAGUCCCGCAACGAGCGCAACCCUUAUCAUUAGUUGCUACGCAAGGGCACUCUAAUGAGACUGCCGGUGACAACCGGAGGAAGGUGGGGAUGACGUCAAGUCCUCAUGGCCCUUAUGGGUAGGGCUUCACACGUCAUACAAUGGUCGGUACAGAAGGGUUGCCAAGCCGCGAGGCGGAGCCAAUCCCACAAAGCCGAUCGUAGUCCGGAUUGUUCUCUGCAACUCGAGAGCAUGAAGUCGGAAUCGCUAGUAAUCGCAGGUCAGCAUACUGCGGUGAAUACGUUCCCGGGUCUU